CGGGAAAAGCUCAAAUUUAAAAUCUGGCAGUCUUUGGCUGUCCGAGUUGUAAUCUAGAGAAGCAUUAUCCGCGCUGGACCGUGUACNNNNNNNCNGGAAUGGAGCGUCAUAGAGGGUGAGAAUCCCGUCUUUGACACGGACUGCCAGGGCUUUUGUGAUGUGCUCUCAAA
rnacentral:rRNA from 1 species